rnacentral:pre_miRNA from 2 species
AGAAUCCUGCUGGAGAAGCAGGGCACGUGCAUGGCACAUGCCAUAUAUACACAAACACAUGAUACACACACCCUCCACUGCACGUGCUCCCUUUCUCCAACAUGCCUCU